UGCGUAGGCGGCGCGGAAAGUCAGAUGUGAAAUCCCGGGGCUCAACCCCGGAACUGCAUCCGAUACUCCCGUGCUAGAGUAAUGGAGGGGUAGCUGGAAUUCUCGGUGUAGCAGUGAAAUGCGUAGAUAUCGAGAGGAACACUCGUGGCGAAGGCGAGCUACUGGACAUUUACUGACGCUGAGGCACGAAGGCCGAGGGGAGACGAAAG
rnacentral:rRNA from 1 species